rnacentral:ribozyme from 14 species
CUUCACAAACCCGACCUGGAGCAAGUUAAAAAAGACUCUGCCAAAAAACUUGCCAGCUGUACUGUACGCGCAGGCCACUUCAGAGGCC